rnacentral:rRNA from 1 species
AUUGAACGCUGGCGGCAGGCCUAACACAUGCAAGUCGAACGGUAACAGGAAGCAGCUUGCUUCUUUGCUGACGCGUGGCGGACGGGUGAGUAAUGUCUGGGAAACUGCCCGAUGGAGGGGGAUAACUACUGGAAACGGUAGCUAAUACCGCAUAACGUCGCAAGACCAAAGAGGGGGACCUUAGGGCCUCUUGCCAUCGGGUGUGCCCAGAUGGGAUUAGCUAGUAGGUGGGGUAACGGCUCACCUAGGCGACGAUCCCUAGCUGGUCUGAGAGGAUGACCAGCCACACUGGAACUGAGACACGGUCCAGACUCCUACGGGAGGCAGCAGUGGGGAAUAUUGCACAAUGGGCGCAAGCCUGAUGCAGCCAUGCCGCGUGUAUGAAGAAGGCCUUCGGGUUGUAAAGUACUUUCAGCGGGGAGGAAGGGAGUAAAGUUAAUACCUUUGCUCAUUGACGUUACCCGCAGAAGAAGCACCGGCUAACUCCGUG